rnacentral:rRNA from 1 species
AGAGUUAAACAGUACGUGAAAUUGUUGAAAGGGAAACGAUUGAAGCCAGUCGUACUGACGGAAAAUCAACCUUUCGGGUGCCUAUCGUGGGUGACGUUGAGCUUUAUGGUCUUCAUCGCUUAUGUUGUAGGUAUCUUUGGGGUGUACUUUUUCGUAUGGUAGGUCAACAUCGAUUUUGAUCGUCAUAGAAUGAUCGGAGGAAUGUAGCUUCGAUUUCGAUUGGAGUGUUAUAGCCUUUGGUAGAUGUGACGAUUGGGAUUGAGGAUUGCAAUGAAUACCCUUUGGGCUAUUCGUCUGAUCUUCUAAAAGUCGCUCGGGUGCUGAAAGCGUGCUUAUAGCUAUUCGAGUGCAGUUAACAGCUUAGAACGUGAUUAUAUUCAUUAAGGAUGUUGACGUAAUGGCUUUAAACGACC